CUACAAAAAAGAUGUCCAAGAAGAAGAAGGGAGGAGGAAGUGGUAGUGGUGGUGCUAGUGGUCCAGUCACUAAAACUACAUCUGCUGGAAAAGACUUGUCUCAAGGAAAGUUAUGGAAACUGUUAGUGGAAGAUGUACUUCAGCAUUUCCUGUACACAUUGGAAUAUAAUUCUGUAACUCACAUGUGUACUACUUGUGGUGUUAGCAAAGUCUCUCUUCUCAGGGAAUUCUGUAACAAAACAGGAGUACAGAUUACAUUGAAGGAUUAAAAAUUUUCCUUGACUGCUCCAUUCAAUGAAGGUGAUCUUGCCUGUAUUGUACCUGUUGUUAAGCACACUGAUUUUAAACCUCUUGAAGCCUCUGGCUUGUAUGAGUUGGCUCAGGUUCAGUUGCAGUCUGGUAAUAUUGAAGUUGCUCUUGACUAUCUAUCUGAAGCUGUGCAAUUGUUUGCUCAAGUCUUUGGGCCACUACAUGUCAACAUAGCAAACUGCUAUAAAGUUAUUGCACUAAUUCAUCAUGCUCUAGGAGACAGUAAACUAGUAAGUGGUGC
rnacentral:lncRNA from 1 species